UGACAGCAUUUGUUUACUACUACUCA
rnacentral:piRNA from 1 species